AGCGUUGCUCGGAAUUACUGGGCGUAAAGGGCGCGUAGGCGGACAGUUUAGUCGGAGGUGAAAGCCCAGGGCUCAACCUUGGAAUAGCCUUUGAUACUGACUGUCUUGAGUUCGGGAGAGGUGAGUGGAAUGCCGAGUGUAGAGGUGAAAUUCGUAGAUAUUCGGCGGAACACCAGUGGCGAAGGCGACUCACUGGCCCGAUACUGACGCUGAGGCGCGAAAGCGUGGGGAGCAAACAGG
rnacentral:rRNA from 1 species